rnacentral:rRNA from 1 species
AUUGAACGCUGGCGGCAUGCCUUACACAUGCAAGUCGAACGGCAGCACGGGAGCAAUCCUGGUGGCGAGUGGCGAACGGGUGAGUAAAGUAUCGGAACGUGCCCAGUCGUGGGGGAUAACGUAGCGAAAGUUACGCUAAUACCGCAUACGAUCUACGGAUGAAAGCGGGGGAUCGCAAGACCUCGCGCGAUUGGAGCGGCCGAUAUAAGAUUGGGUAGUUGGUGGGGUAAAGGCUCACCAAGCCGACGAUCUGUAGCUGGUCUGAGAGGACGACCAGCAACACUGGGACUGAGACACGGCCCAGACUCCUACGGGAGGCAGCAGUGGGGAAUGUUGGACAAUGGGCGAAAGCCUGAUCCAGCCAUGCCGCGUGCAGGAUGAAGGCCUUGGGUUUGUAAACUGCUUUUGUACGGAGCGAAAAGGUUUGGGCUAAUAGUUUGAGCUCAUGACGGUACCGUAAGAAUAAGCACCGGCUAACUACGUGCCAGCCGCCGCCGUAA